GAUGAACGCUAGCGGCAGGCUUAAUACAUGCAAGUCGAGGGGCAGCAGUUUUGUAGCAAUACAGAAGCUGGCGACCGGCAAACGGGUGCGGAACACGUACGCAACCUUCCUUUAACUGGAAGAUAGCCCACCGAAAGGUGGAUUAAUACUCCAUAACAUAUUGAAGAGGCAUCUCUUUGAUAUUAAAGCUCCGGCGGUUAAAGAUGGGCGUGCGUCUGAUUAGGUAGUUGGCGGGGUAACGGCCCACCAAGCCUUCGAUCAGUAGCUGAUGUGGGGGCAUGAUCAGCCACACGGGCACUGAGACACGGGCCCGACUGCUACGGGAGGCAGCAGUAAGGGAUAUUGGUCAAUGGACGCAAGUCUGAACCAGCCAUGCCGCGUGGAGGAUGAAGGCCCUCUGGGUUGCAAACUUCUUUUCUUUGGGACGAAACCCCUGUUUCUACGGGGACUGACGGUACCAGAGGAAUAAGCACCGGCUAACUCCGUGCCAGCCGCCGCCGUAAAAC
rnacentral:rRNA from 1 species